GCCGCCGUCUGCUUUGUGCGCUGUUCCUGCGCGCGUAUUUCGGCAAAUGCAUUUUUUUUUUGCAUGUGCCUGUUUGUUUAACAUCUCCCUAGGUUUUGCUCUCAGACCCGCUGAGGACCCUUAACUCUGAAUUUCCCGACUGCUCUAUGAUGCAUCUGCCCGUCUCCGUGUCGAAUGCGUGCUGAGAUGGUGUCUCACGCUUUUGAACCUGCAUCUUUACAGCUUUUGGAAAAAUGCCGUUGCGCAUCUUUUUGAGCAUAAAAAUUACUGCCAGCUCCGUCCCGUCAGCUCCUUCCUGGCUACCACUCCUCGGUCCCUUUGGAUGUUAGCG
rnacentral:lncRNA from 1 species